rnacentral:rRNA from 1 species
AGAGUUUGAUCAUGGCUCAGAACGUACGCUGGCGGCACGCCUAACACAUGCAAGUCGAACGAAGUAGCAAUACUUAGUGGCAGACGGGUGAGUAACAUGUGGGUAUCUGCCCUUUGGCCUGGAAUAACACGAGGAAACUUGUGCUAAUACCGGAUAAGUCUUUACAGAGAAAGCUUUAUGCACCAUUGGAUGAGCCCGCACUUGAUUAGUUUGUUGGUGGGGUAAUGGCCUACCAAGACUUUGAUCAAUAGCUGAUUUGAGAGGAUGAUCAGCCACAUUGGGACUGAGACACGGCCCAAACUCCUACGGGAGGCAGCAGUGGGGAAUCUUGCACAAUGGAGGAAACUCUGAUGCAGCGAUGCCGCGUGAGUGAAGAAGGCCCUUGGGUUGUAAAGCUCUUUCGUCGGGGAAGAAAAUGACUGUACCCGAAUAAGAAGGUCCGGCUAACUUCGUGCCAGCAGCCGCGGUAAUACGAAGGGACCUAGCGUAGUUCGGAAUUACUGGGCUUAAAGAGUUCGUAGGUGGUUGAAAAAGUUGGUGGUGAAAUCCCAGAGCUUAACUCUGGAACUGCCAUCAAAACUUUUCAGCUAGAGUUUGAUAGAGGAAAGCAGAAUUUCUAGUGUAGAGGUGAAAUUCGUAGAUAUUAGAAAGAAUACCAAUUGCGAAGGCAGCUUUCUGGAUCAUUACUGACGCUGAGGAACGAAAGCAUGGGUAGCGAAGAGGAUUAGAUACCCUCGUAGUCCAUGCCGUAAACGAUGUGUGUUAGACGUUGGAAAUUUAUUUUCAGUGUCGCAGCGAAAGCGAUAAACACACCGCCUGGGGAGUACGACCGCAAGGUUAAAACUCAAAUGAAUUGACGGGGACCCGCACAAGUAGUGGAGCAUGUGGUUUAAUUCGAAGAUACGCGCAGAACCUUACCAACACUUGACAUGUUCGUCGCGACUUUAAGAGAUUAAAGUUUUCGGUUCGGCCGGACGAAACACAGGUGCUGCAUGGCUGUCGUCAGCUCGUGUCGUGAGAUGUUGGGUUAAGUCCCGCAACGAGCGCAACCCUCACUUUUAGUUGCCAUCAUUUAGUUGGGCACUCUGAAAGAACUGCCAGUGAUAAGCUGGAGGAAGGUGGGGAUGACGUCAAGUCCUCAUGGCCCUUACGUGUUGGGCUACACACGUGCUACAAUGGUAUUUACAAUAGGAAGCGAAACAGCGAUGUUAAGCAAAUCCUUAAAAGAUACCUCAGUUCGGAUUGCACUCUGCAACUCGAGUGCAUGAAGCUGGAAUUACUAGUAAUCGUGGAUCAGCGUGCCACGGUGAAUGCGUUCCCGGGUCUUGUAGA